rnacentral:rRNA from 1 species
UAGGGAAUAUUGGACAAUGGACGCAAGUCUGAUCCAGCCAUCCCGCGUGAAGGAUUAAGGCCCUCUGGGUUGUAAACUUCUUUUCUCUGGGAAUAAAAAGCGGGGUUCUCCUCGCCUUGAAGGUACCAGAGGAAUAAGCACCGGCUAACUCCGUGCCAGCAGCCGCGGUAAUACGGAGGGUGCAAGCGUUAUCCGGAUUCACUGGGUUUAAAGGGUGCGUAGGUGGCUUUGUAAGUCAGUGGUGAAAGCCCGGAGCUUAACUCCGGAACUGCCAUUGAUACUGCUUAGCUUGAAUCAACUUGAGGUGGAUGGAAUAUUACAUGUAGCGGUGAAAUGCUUAGAUAUGUAAUAGAACACCGAUUGCGAAGGCAGUUCACUAAGGUUGUAUUGACACUGAGGC